UACGUAGGGUGCAAGCGUUUGUCCGGAUUUAUUGGGCGUAAAGAGCUCGUAGGCGGUCUGUCGCGUCGGAUGUGAAAACCCAGGGCUCAACCCUGGGCCUGCAUUCGAUACGGGCAGACUAGAGUAUGGCAGGGGAGACUGGAAUUCCUGGUGUAGCGGUGAAAUGCGCAGAUAUCAGGAGGAACACCGGUGGCGAAGGCGGGUCUCUGGGCCAAAACUGACGCUGGAGGAGCGAAAGCGUGGGGGAGCGAACAGG
rnacentral:rRNA from 1 species